AACGCACAUUGCGCCCUCUGGUAUUCCGGGGGGCACGCCCGUCCGAGCGUCAUCUCUACCAUCCAGCCCGGCUGGGUCUUGGGCGGCGGGCGACUUCCUCAAGUCGCCCGUGCCCCAAAUCGCUCGGCCGCCCGGCCGCGUCGGGGCGUCAGGACGGAUCAACCGUUCGCCCGCGACGCGCUGCCCGCGGCGGCCGCUGUCGGAAGCCAUUUUAUCAAGGUGGACCUCGGAUCGGGCGGGGAUACCCGCUGAACUUAA
rnacentral:misc_RNA from 1 species